GGUUUCAGAUGCUAAAUAGUUUUGAGAGUGGAAGGGGAGGGGUUUGGAGGGCGGAGGGGGAGCCAGAGUGCGUCUCGGUGCUCUAAUAAGCAGGAGGGACCAGGCAGGGUUUGGUGGAUCUGAGAUGACUGAAACAAGCCACUUAUUUACUGUCAGAAAGCAACGGACACUUUGGUCAGUCCAUCAAACGAACCAUUUCUUCAUAUGACAAGAAAUUACACUUUUUAAUUUUUAUUUAUUUAUUUUUACUGAAAUCGAAUUAAUGAAAUUAUUAAUGAAUUUAUUACAUCACAUAUGUUACAUUGCGCAUUUAUUUUAAAACUUGCAUUAAUAGGAAAUACUUGUUAUAAUGAUUAAUAAAUAGUUUAAAUCUCAAAUUCACAUUUACUAAUUUUAUAUUUUUAAACACUUUCUUUUCUAAUUCAAUCUACAAACGUCUCCGAAUAUUUUUGGGUUUGAAUUAAAGUCACCGCGAGUCCUACGGCUCAAUAAACAAUCGAAUUAACUGCUGUAUAAAAACUAUUUGUUCUUGGAGAGUUAAAGCUUCACUGAGUCACUGUGAGGCCUUUUUACAUCCACACAAACCCUCCAUGUUUAACUGCAGUGUAAAGUCUGCGCACCGUUGAGGUCGAUUUACGCACAACUUCUCCGGACUGAAAGGAAAUCUAUCUGCUUGAUCUCUAAUCGAAUCAAGUCCGCACUCUCUCACAGUUCUUAUAAUGUGGAAGUCAAACAGGAAAGAGGCUUAAACUAACCAGCGAGCUCUCCGGUUUCUGCGGAUACCUCCAGUGGACCUUCUCCUCCGUGCGUUUUGUCAGCGGUCCACCUCUUCAUCUGUCAUGUCAUGUUUUCUCUACGCAGAGCGGCGCACAGGUGGCUCAUAUUAUGGAGCUGAAUUUAUCCGCUGCCAGAACGCGAAGUUUGUCCAAAUCAGCUGACUGACCUCUGGAGAGAUCUGUGGCUCUAUAUUGUUGUGGGUUUUUGACUAUAGCCAGCGCACUUCUGCUCCAAUAAACCGCAAACAUAUCAUUUAAAUAUUUGUUUAACUUUUUUAAUUCAAAAAGAAACAAUAAAAGAAGAAAUAUAUCAAUGUGAUGGAAUGAGUUUACAAGACAUAUCUUCAACUUGAAUCCGAUGUAAUUCCCCCGACAUCAGGAUAGACAUGAUUUAUUGUGACUUUUUUUGAAUUCUUGUUUUAUAGUAAUAGAAUAAUAUUAAAAUGAAAAUAAGGCAAGACUUCCUAAUGAAGAUUGAUGAAUUAGGGGGUAUAUUUUUUAGUAAUUAAGCCUACUUUAAUGUAAUUUGAUGUUCCUGAACUUAUCAAGGAAACAAGGCUUUAACUGUUAAAGUGAAUCCGUCAUUAAUCAAAUUGUAGUGAAUCAUUACAUGGCAUUACAAAGCAAUUUUGUUAAUUUACACUGUAGCAUACAAUCCAGUACAAGAAAAGUAUCUGAAAAUAAUCCAAUUGCAGUAUCUUAAAUAUUCGUGUUCUCCAGUUUGUGUUCUACAUGUCCAGGGAGACUGGCUGCUGUAAAUGGGGUGGAACCCAGUACCUCCUGAAAGUUGCUCAGCAUUGUUUAAACCCAGGAGGACUUGCUUGGUACCGACUCCUUCGGCCUAAAGGAAACUUCCAGUCUGCUUUGUGUUUCGGGCUCCACUGGUAAUAGUUGCUGUCACACUACUUUUACACAGUGCCAGAGCUCUUAAUUCACAUUGUGGCCGGCCUCAGCAUAGGUCGAAGUGUGGUUACAUUUUACUGGUCCACUUCAUACAGCCUCUUUAUGUAAUGUUUCACACAUGCAAAUACGACAGUAAUGCAAAAGUGAAUAUGUGCAAGCGCAUGGCAUGAAGGAAGGAGCAUGCACUUGAAGGAUGAUCACACUCACACACUUUCCCUGAUUAUGACCCCUGACCUUUGGCUCCCUGGCCCAGCUGCAGGAGGCCUCCAUGCCCAGGGGAGAAAGUUGUGACUUGCAGAGUAGAGACUGAUCCUGUGCAGCGUCUGUGAGGUUGGCUUCACAUGCACACUUCACAAGAUGAACAAGAGCAAGAAGGGGGCCCCUCUCCUGCACUUUUCCAUCCACUGUACGUGCUCCGGGCAAUGUGUGUUUGCUCUGGCCACCAGGAGGGCUGCAGCUCUAAUCCGAGGAGGAAAUUAUUGAAUGUUCCAGUGCUCAUCUGAGAAGGCUUCAAAUGUGUGGCUUCCCACUGCUCGGGGCCCUUGAGUGCGGGCCCCUGGGACACGACACCGCAUUUUUCCUUCACACACUCUGAUCUGAAUUAUUAGCUCUGAGGCUAAAAGCACAGUCUUGUGAAGAGGAGCUGUAAUGAGAAAAGCAGGUUUCCCAAAGAGUAUGGGCUGAGGAGGAAGUGGGAAGUAGCUCUGUGGAGAGAGGGGUUUGCUGCAAAUGAUGAGUGGGUGCUCUGCAGUGAUCAUUUUAAACCUGUGAGUUUGACAGGGCUGGGCAGGUUUGUCGGCUUAGACCUGGUGUCAUUCCAUCAGUGUUUAACUUCCCGGCUCAUCUUGGAAGAGUACGUGCCAGAAAGACCACGACCAAGCAGCCUUGAGAUCUUAGGCAGCGUCUCCCUGAGGUCCCUCUCUAUCUCCCCACACAUCCACCAACCACUGGAACACAUCUCCAAAGUUCUGCCGGGUCAGCUCAGCUUCCCCUCAGAAGAAGUGCCGCCACCUGCCAGAUGAAGGAGCCUUUUGAGAGGCAGCUGGCAUCGUGAUUGGACUGUACUUUGGUCUGUUCCAAUCCAGCUUCAGCUCCAGAGACGGCAGGCGGGACGAGUCAACGGAGGCCGGGUGGACGAAGGCAUGCAGCUGAGUACAAUCCAGAAAACAACAGAGGAGGAGUGCAGCAGCCCAGGGCCAGAACAAACAGAGUAGCAUCGUAUGUCUCUUAGAAAACAACAUAGUAUAGCCUUUGGUAUGAAAAAACGCCAUCAUAUACAUCAUAUAUUGUACAAAUAACAAGUCAAAGGAAAGAGACAUCCACUGUAGAAUUGUAGUAAUUGUGGGCUGACUGAUUUACUGAUUAUCAGUAUUUUAUUUUUUACUGAUUUACGGUAAUAAAUAAAUUUAAAAAUGGCGCUACUUUGGCUCUGAACCUUUAUCUACCUGUGGUCGCUCUGUCUUCUGGAGUGAUUUGAUUGGUUAUACGUCACGAAUAAAACUCCUUUAACUUAACAUCUGUAAACAAAACAAAAACGUAUCAACAAAGUUUUCUGUUAGAGUUUGUGUUCUUCUAAGUUUAACUCCAACAUUUUAAAUACUUUCAUUUACUGCAAAUGAAUAUCUACUCCAAAUGUCUCAGUAAUAAUCAUUAUCAGCCUUAAAAACCCACAAAGCACCCCUCUAUACUCGACCACACUUAGUACA